rnacentral:rRNA from 1 species
CCUACGGGAGGCAGCAGUGAGGAAUAUUGGUCAAUGGCCGGAAGGCUGAACCAGCCAUGCCGCGUGAAGGUCAGUGCCCUUUGGGCGUUAAACUUCUUUUGUGCGGGAGCAAUAAUGGUCACGUGUGGCCAGACGAGAGUACCGUACGAAUAAGCAUCGGCAAACUCAGUGCCAGCAGUCGCGGUAAUACGUAGGGGGCAAGCGUUAUCCGGAUUUACUGGGUGUAAAGGGCGUGUAGGCGGGAGAGCACGUCAGAUGUGAAAUUCCAGGGCUCAACCCUGGAACUGCAUUUGAAACUGUUUUUCUUGAGGGAUGGAGAGGCAGGCGGAAUUCCGUGGGGAGCGGUGAAAUGCGUAGAUAUACAG